AAGUCGUAACAAGGUUUCCGUAGGUGAACCUGCGGAAGGAUCAUUAAAGAUUUUGUUUUUUGGGGUUUUCCCUGAAAAAUAAUUCACCUUUUGUGCAUUGUUAUUAGAUAUACUUUGGUUAGAGCUUUGAUUUCAUUCAUUGGAAUCAACUUCUUGCCGACUCUAUCCUUUCUGAGGACAGUUGGCUAUGAAGCGGCCUACCAAGGUUUUUUAUCAAACACAUUUAAUUUAUCUGACCUAAAAACAAAUAAUUAAAUCAUAACUUUCAACAACGGAUCUCUUGGCUCUC
rnacentral:misc_RNA from 1 species